UACGUAGGGGGCUAGCGUUGUCCGGAUUUAUUGGGCGUAAAGGGCGCGUAGGCGGCGUGUUAAGUCACUUGUGAAAUCUCUAAGCUUAACUUAGAACGGUCAAGUGAUACUGAUGUGCUAGAGUGCAGAAGGGGCAACCGGAAUUCUUGGUGUAGCGGUGAAAUGCGUAGAUAUCAAGAGGAACACCUGAGGUGAAGACGGGUUGCUGGGCUGACACUGACGCUGAGGCGCGAAAGCUAGGGGAGCGAACGGG
rnacentral:rRNA from 1 species